GCGCCGCCGCGGAGCUGGGGGCCUCCCUGCGGAUCGGCUGCACAGCCGACGCCAGCUGCUCCCUGCUCUCCCUCUGGGGCCGGUUGGAGAAUUUAUAUAAAGAACACGUUUGUUCAGAAAUCACACUGCUUGCUUCUUCUGACUGUCCUGAAGAGUGAAGACAUGAUUCUUCAGCCUGAGCUGAACCGGGAUUUCCUCAUCCAAAGCCACUAAGAGACACAAAAGGAAGACGAGGGUAGAAAAAGAUUCAAGACUCCAACAAGCAAAAUCAGAAAUCUGAGGUGCAGCCAGGUUAAGAAACUUGCCCAAAGCCACGCAGAAAAUGACAAGAUUGAGAAAUCAGCCCCGGCAACCAUACUUCACAAAUCUCAACAGGAAAGCCCCCUGCCAACAGCAUGAAGACAACUGAUUUUGACCCAGUAAUUUUUGAAAACUAAGAAAACUGAGUAGCAACCACGUGGUGUGUAUUUUGCUGCAUGUGAAGAAUGAACAAGUGAACAACAAAGGAUCUUCUCCAACACCUCCAACCCAGAAUCCUUGCUUCCGUGAAGACCUGGAUUUCCUAGGUGUCACCCGUAAUGAAUCAGUUUCCCUCCUAAGCCACACCGGGGACAAAUAACCAGAGGAGAGAACAGAGGCUGAGG